CAUCGCUGGCAAUAGAGUAUUUCCUCCUGUGGAUCGCCUCAGGGGCCAUCCACUUGAGAGGGACUUUCCCUCCUCGGCCAGUGUAACACCCGUUCUCAGACAAAUCUCUCGACAUCCCAAAAUCACCAAUCUAUAUUAAAUAAAAACAUUCCUCGCAGCCAGGUCUCUGUGCACAAAUCCUUUGCUGGCCAGAUAAUGCAUCCCUAGAGCAACUUGUUGAGAGAAGCUUACUAGAAGUAGCAGACCUAGCACUGAUAUGGCAACAAUGACACCAAUAAGGAUCAUCACUGCAAUGAUGAUGCCUGCCACGCCCCCUCCGGAGAG